CGCAGGUCUGGGGUCACCGCUCAGCGGUUGGGGUCUCCCUUUAGAGCCUUGGGGGUCUGUGGGUCUUGCAUGCAUGGGUCCAUCCUCGGGACCUGAGGAGCUCGCGUUUCUGAGGUCUGUGCUUGGGGAUUUGGGGCCUUAGGGGCCCUUUGGGUCUGUGGUCCGGACGUCCUCGGGUUGGGGGUCCUGGGUUGCAUCAGGGUCUCUCGUCCGCGCUCCGUCGUUGGGGUCCACCCUCGCGGGUCUCGAGGGCCGUAGGGCGUCGGGUUGGGGUCUGCUCUCAGGGGCCUGGGGAGCCUGCACCUCUGGGGUGCGUUCGGGUGUGUGGGUGCUUGCGGGAAUGGAGUCUGCGCCCAGGGCUUUGGGGUAUCAGGCACCUCCGGUCUGGGGUCUGCGUUUGGGGGUCUGGGGGGUCCUCGGGCCUGGAUUUAGCCCUUGGGAGUCUCGGGUUUGCGCCGAGGGUUCCGGGUUCUCCCGCAGCCCACAGGUCCCCCUCUGUGUCUCAGUGUCAUGAGCCGCGGGACCUGGUGCGGUGCGUGGGGGGGACCUGGGUGGCGGUGGGGCGAGCCGUGGCGGUUCUGCUGUGACCGUAGGGCUGCAAGGGGAGUGGAGCACAGGUAGGGCUCGAAGGCGCUGUCAGGUGGGAAUUGGUAGGUGCAUUCUGUGAUGAGGGGCCGGGUGUGGAGCCUGUGCGUGUGAAAGCCGGUUGAGGGUUGUUUUGGAGGGAGUUAAGGUCAGAGUGCAUACGGGCUCAAGGAGUUGGUGGUUCGCUGUUUGGGGGAGUAUGAUGCAUGUGGAUUUCCCCCCAUGACUUGGGGACCUGUGUGAGUAACGGCAAAUUCGGGAAGAUUAUGUGCAUGUGAGGAGGGGCGUGUUUGGAGAGGUGCCUGCCUGUAUUCGUUUAGGUAUACUGGUUUUGUAUAUGUGGGCGAUGUAGGGGGAUCAUUUGUGUAUUAAGAGCUUGUUGCAUGGUUCUGUGUAUUCCAUUUUCUGAUUGUCAGGAGCCCUGUUUGUAUUUUGGUGUGCAGAGGGAAAGCCAGUGACUAUUUUGUGGCACUGGCAGAUGCUUCAUAUGCCAGCGUGAUGUGGUUUUGUAUGAAUCUGUAUCGUCCAAGACGGAAGAGUUGAUUCUGUGUGAGAAUUCAGGGGUGUGAGGUCAUGUAGGUGCAGGUCACGUGGUGUUAUAGGUGUAUGUGAAACAGGGUGUGGGUGAUGUGUUAGCAUAGUUGUGUACCGGAUUAUUGUAGGUAUAAUUGGGGCUUGUGGAGGGAUGUGUGUCUUUAUUCGAGGGGCAUGGUCAUUUGAAGGAGUAUUUGCUGGGGCCAUGUGUUUGUACUUUUAGGAGGGAGCCAUUAGGCUUACUUAUGUAUUUUGGGAAGUGAGUAGGUCUGUAUCUGAUGGGGAGAUAGGGCUCUGUUUAUAGGGGAGUGGGAGAAUUAUAUUUCUGUGUAUUAGAAGUACGUGAUAUGGUUAUUCGUAUUUGCAGACGUGAGAGCUGGCUGCUACUCAUCAGGGACAGUUUGGCAUUUGGAAGUUGCUUCAUGAACGGAUUGCUGGAGAUGUUCCUAUGUGUCUUGUGUAUAUAGGCUGGUUUGUGUAUAUAUAUCCGUCACCAACUGCAUGAAUUAUCAAAGUUUAUUCAUAGGGCAUGAAGUUGUUAGGAGUAUUUAAAGCGUAUUUCUUUGGAUAAGACUAGUGUGUUUCUAUAUGUGUCUGAUAGGUCAGAAUGAGGAUAAAAAUGUUCACGUAUGUUCAGGAGAAUGAUAUGUGUGUAUAUAUGAGUGUAUGUAUAGACAUGUGGUUUUUGUGUGUGUGUGUAUCUGGGGUGUGAGUUGAGUUUCUACUCAGGGUACAGGUGGACUGUGUGCACAUAUUUGCAUGGAAGGGGAUGGGGUGUGCUAGAACUGGCUCAUACUAACUUGGGAAGGUCAGUGGCGCAUAUCUAUUCUAAUUCUGUUUAGUGAUGUUAGAUAGGUAGCUUGAAAUUAGUCAUGCUGGGAAUAUUUAUACCAGGUAAAAACCUCAAAUGAAAGUUUUCCCCACCUUCCUCUGAGAGCCUUUAUUAAGCAUUUACCAGCACACCACUGGUGUGUUUGUGUCUGUCUGAAGCAGGCACCGUUGGGUGUGUAUAUGGGUGUCUCUGAAUUGUGAAUGGGGCAUCCAGAGCUUUGGGUCCUUGUGUGUGUGCAUUGACUCUGGUCAUUUUGAACCAUUGCGUUACUCCUAAUCAGGCUGGCCUCUUCUUUAAGGCCAAAGAACCCCCCAUAAAUUUGAUGAUUUCCAGUUCUUCAUGCAGAUGGGUUCAGAGGCAUCUGUAUGUUAGGCAAGUGGACACUCCUCCAGCAUUUAUGGUCUUGGCAUUUGGGUCCCAAGAUGGAUAGGCCUGGUGGACUGUGGCUGUGCAGAGCAGAACUUUUGCAAGUAUGUUGGGUGGCACGUGUCAGGUUGUGUGACAGACAGUAUUCAGAACAUUGUAGGGAUUCCUAGACAGAAGGCCAGAGGGCAUGCUCUCCCAGGCAAGCCCUUGCAAGUCACCUUGGCAGCUAUAGGUAUAGCUCUCUUUUCUGGAACAUGAUUGGUAGGCAAGGACACCCUCCACACAGGGUCCAGGAGGUUCAAGAUGCUCCUAGGGCUGGGAAGCUCAUCACAGUUUCAUGUUUCUCAGAGGGGAUGACCCUUUCUCUCUGUCCAUGUGGAGCUGCAAACCCACCAGAGGGAGCCGUGUGAUUCAUGUGGUCACCAGCUGACCACAUAGCUGCCUCCUGCCUCCCACCUCCCUUGGACAACCCACCCAGCAUUUCUGGGCCUUUGUUAUGGGCAGCCAUUCCCCUAGGAUGGUCUGUGGUCCUCUUACGCUUACCUGGACAGGUCUGGGAGUAUCACAUCUGGUGGCUGGAUGCAGGGUGGGGCUGACACCCCACAGGAGUGGGUAUCCUGUCCUCAGUGGGGUGGCUAGGAGGUCAGGGUUUCUCCUCCAGGGCGUCACAUUUGAUCAGUCCUCUCCAGAAUGUGCGAACAGAGCUGACCCAUUGGAUAGACUCUGCCAGGAGAGUAGUAGACCUGAGGACAGUUCCCGAGAGAGAAAUCUGGUUUCUUCCUUGAGUGGCUCCCACUACAGGGCCCUUCUCAGAAUGCUUCCGGAGCUCUUUAAGGAGUGCCUUCCUGACCGAGCUCUGCCCUGUUACUCCCUUGGCCCUCAUCCUGCUUCAGUAUCCUGCAGUGUUGUGCUCUCUCAAGACUAACGACCUGUGAGCCUGCUGCCUCGUGGCACACAUGUUCUUUAAGGAUGGGACCACUGAGUCUUCAUUACCUCCUUCCAGGACACAUCCAAGGCCUGACCACUGUCUGCUCCUAUCACUGUCAGGCAGAAUAAAUUAAGCCAGGUAAAUUCCAAUUCUGAUACUUGACAUCUAGCUAAGAGAGUCCAUCUCUUCUCACCUCUGUCCUAAGUCUCCAGGCAAGUCUGUUUCCAUCCCGUGGCCUUAGAUUUUGCAAGGCUGUAAUGUGAGAACUGGAUGGACCAUCUCCAAAGCCCCUUCCAACUGUGAGUUUGUCAACACAGUAGUACUGCAGAGGGUGUCUGCAGCACAGAGAAAGGAUCCAGCAGUCAGAAAGCAUACCUAGGUGACUUUAGGAGCUUGGAUGCAUCUUCUGCUUAGUGACUUACUUACCAAUCAUAUGUUUAAAGAUACAUGUUAUACAAGUAUAUAUAUUCUUAGGAGCCUCUUGUGAUGUAUUUUCUGGGUGACUGUAGAGUAAAUGUAGUCUACUUCUUGAAAGCCUUUGGGAUUAAGUUGCUUGUUUAGGCUCUGGUGUCCAGCAGACAUGGAUUCUGCUGGACAGUGUUGUUUGAUACUAGGCCAGUUCGCUAACACUUAAAUACCCUCCGUGUAUCAUAAGUUGACUAGAUUUUUUUACCCGCACAAUGGGAAUAAUAGUACUUCAUGCAGAAGACAGUUGUGAUGUCUUCCUGUAAUACUGUGUAUAUGUCUUAGCACAACAUCUAACACAUGGUUGGAAUUCAUUGCUGUGGUCAUUUCUGGGAAUAGCAGCAGCUGGAGCUUCUGGGCUGAAGAAAUGGCAUUUGGACUCUGUCAACACUCAUAUGUGAGCCAUUACUCUUGGAUCUCAGUCCUUUAGCUAGAUCUCAAUCACUUGCAAUAGAAAUGUGUGUAUAUGUAAUUUUUUAAAAAAGAUGAGUGAUAUCUAGAGCUCUGAUUUGGAGCUACUAUGACACUUUUAUGAACAAUCUUGUUCAUGUGUGCAAGCGCUUCUCAAGGUGGAUAUUCCUAGAAGUGGUGAUACGAGUAUCUCCGACUUUACCAUUUAAUAACAAACUGUUUUCCUAAGGAACAGAUCAGGGAUCCCUGGGUGGUGCAGCGGUUUGGCGCCUGCCUUUGGUCCAGGGCCCGAUCCGGGAGACCCUGGAUCGAUUCCCACGUCGGGCUCCCGGUGCAUGGAGCCUGCUUCUCCCUCUGCCUGUGUCUCUGCCUC